rnacentral:rRNA from 1 species
AUACGGGGGAUGCAAGCGUUAUUCGGAAUCAUUGGGCGUAAAGGGCACGCAGGCGGUUCUGUCAGUCAGAUGUGAAAGCCCGGGGCUUAACCCCGGACGUGCAUUUGAAACAGCAGGACUUGAGUAUGGUAGAGGAAAGCGGAAUUCCUGGUGUAGAGGUGAAAUUCGUAGAUAUCAGGAGGAACACCGGUGGCGAAGGCGGCUUUCUGGACCAAAACUGACGCUGCGGUGCGAAGGCGUGGGUAGCGAACAGGAUUAGAAACCCGAGUAGUCC